rnacentral:rRNA from 1 species
GAUGAACGCUGGCGGCGUGCCUAAUACAUGCAAGUCGAGCGAACAGAUGAGGAGCUUGCUCCUCUGACGUUAGCGGCGGACGGGUGAGUAACACGUGGAUAACCUACCUAUAAGACUGGGAUAACUUCGGGAAACCGGAGCUAAUACCGGAUAAUAUAUUGAACCGCAUGGUUCAAUAGUGAAAGACGGUUUUGCUGUCACUUAUAGAUGGAUCCGCGCCGCAUUAGCUAGUUGGUAUGGUAACGGCUUACCAAGGCAACGAUGCGUAGCCGACCUGAGAGGGUGAUCGGCCACACUGGAACUGAGACACGGUCCAGACUCCUACGGGAGGCAGCAGUAGGGAAUCUUCCGCAAUGGGCGAAAGCCUGACGGAGCAACGCCGCGUGAGUGAUGAAGGUCUUCGGAUCGUAAAACUCUGUUAUUAGGGAAGAACAAAUGUGUAAGUAACUAUGCACGUCUUGACGGUACCUAAUCAGAAAGCCACGGCUAACUACGUG